GGAGCAACUGUGGCAUCUGAGAUGUUGAUCUGGGUGAGCGAGGCUUCACACCUGCACCUCUGUACCCAGGUAGAUCCCUGAGGCUGGGACGUCCAGAACCCCUUUGUUUCUAAAUACCAUUCUCCUGUUGCCAUCCAAUUACUGGACUCUACCAGGUAC
rnacentral:lncRNA from 1 species